CAAUAGGUGGCGUAGCGGUUACAGCUGCCGGCUUUGGACUCGGGAGUCAUGGGUUUGAAUCCCACCUCCCGUUGC
rnacentral:tRNA from 1 species